rnacentral:rRNA from 1 species
UACGGAGGGGGCUAGCGUUGUUCGGAAUUACUGGGCGUAAAGCGCGCGUAGGCGGACCUGCAAGUCGGGGGUGAAAGCCCGAGGCUCAACCUCGGAACUGCCUUCGAUACUGCGGGUCUCGAGUCCGGGAGAGGUGAGUGGAAUUCCUAGUGUAGAGGUGAAAUUCGUAGAUAUUUAGGAAGAACACCAGUGGCGAAGGCGGCUCACUGGCCCGGUACUGACGCUGAGGCGCGAAAGCGUGGGGAGCAAACAGG